rnacentral:lncRNA from 1 species
ACCGGGUCACAAAGAUGGUCAGCCAUUCAGAGAUGUGAUGAAAACACAGGUGCUUAAACUGGAUUCCAUGCUUACAGGAAAUGCACAGUCAAGCAUUGAUAGUUGUUUGAACUGACUUCUGUGUGGAUCAAGCUGAGCUUACUUUGACAAUACAUCAGCAGCAACAGAGUGUGACACCUGCUGUACAAGGGGAACUCUAGUACCUGGGCAUAGUCAGACAUGAGGAUGAAUGGUUGUCAAACCAUCCUCAGUUGAGUUACUCUGUGGAAUGGAAGAGGAAGGCCUUUUACAGAUUUGUGGAAGUCUUUCAUGAUGUUUCAUGGAAUUAAAUCUGCAAAGCUAAG